GGACCGGGCCAACUACGUGCCAGCAGCCGCGGUAAUACGUAGGGUCCGAGCGUUGUCCGGGAAUUAUUGGGCGUAAAGGGCUCGUAGGCGGUUUGUCACGUCGGGAGUGAAAACUCAGGGCUUAACCCUGAGCGUGCUUCCGAUACGGGCUGACUAGAGGGAUGCAGGGGAGAACGGAAUUCCUGGUGUAGCGGUGGAAUGCGCAGAUAUCAGGAGGAACACCGGUGGCGAAGGCGGUUCUCUGGGCAUUUCCUGACGCUGAGGAGCGAAAGCAUGGGGAGCGAACAGGAUUAGAUACCCUGGUAGUCCAUGCCGUAAACGUUGGGCGCUAGGUGUGGGGACCUUCCACGGUUUCCGUGCCGCAGCUAACGCAUUAAGCGCCCCGCCUGGGGAGUACGGCCGCAAGGCUAAAACUCAAAGGAAUUGACGGGGGCCCGCACAAGCGGCGGAGCAUGCUGAUUAAUUCGAUGCAACGCGAAGAACCUUACCUGGGUUUGACAUAUGCCGGAAAGCGCCAGAGAUGGUGCCCCUUUUUGUCGGUAUACAGGUGGUGCAUGGCUGUCGUCAGCUCGUGUCGUGAGAUGUUGGGUUAAGUCCCGCAACGAGCGCAACCCUCGUCCUAUGUUGCCAGCACGUCAUGGUGGGGACUCAUAGGAGACUGCCGGGGUCAACUCGGAGGAAGGUGGGGAUGACGUCAAGUCAUCAUGCCCCUUAUGUCCAGGGCUUCAAGCAUGCUACAAUGGCCGGUACAAUGGGCUGCGAUACCGCGAGGUGGAGCGAAUCCCAAAAAGCCGGUCUCAGUUCGGAUUGGGGUCUGCAACUCGACCCCAUGAAGUCGGAGUCGCUAGUAAUCGCAGAUCAGCAACG
rnacentral:rRNA from 1 species